rnacentral:rRNA from 1 species
CACGUAGGCACCAAGCGUUGUCCGGAUUUAUUGGGCGUAAAGAGCUCGUAGGCGGUUCAGUAAGUCGGGUGUGAAAACUCUGGGCUCAACCCAGAGACGCCACCCGAUACUGCUGUGACUUGAGUACGGUAGGGGAGUGGGGAAUUCCUGGUGUAGCGGUGAAAUGCGCAGAUAUCUGGAGGAACACCGGUGGCGAAGGCGGCAUCCUGGACCGGCAUUGACGCUGAGGCGCGAAAGCCAGGGGAGCAAACGGG